rnacentral:rRNA from 1 species
CACGUAGGGGCCAAGCGUUGUCCGGAUUUAUUGGGCGUAAAGAGCUCGUAGGCGGUUCGACAAGUCGGGUGUGAAAACUCCGGGCUCAACCCGGAGACGCCACCCGAUACUGUCGUGACUGGAGUCCGGUAGGGGAGUGGGGAAUUCCUGGUGUAGCGGUGAAAUGCGCAGAUAUCAGGAGGAACACCAAUGGCGAAGGCAGCUCGCUGGGACGUGACUGACGCUGAGACGCGAAAGCGUGGGGAGCAAACAGG